AUCGCAGCAAGCAAGCUGUUUAAAUUUCGUUAGCGUAUUGAAAUUGAGUAUUGACAGAUCGUCUACUGCCUAUUUAAGCCUAACAAUUUGUAUUUGCGCUGUAACAGAUCAUGCAGAAGCUGUGAAUUGCUUUUCAAAUCCCAGGAAACUGGUACAAACCCGAGGAUAAACAUAUAUAAACGUCCCUGUCCGGUUACACGCUACACAACAAAAAGACCAUGAAAGGAUAUGAACGUACAAAGGUGCAAAGGCACGUACACUUUGGGACGGAAGGACCCAGCACAAUGUUGGGAAUAUCAGUUAGAAAGCGAAAAGUGCGACCUUGCUUGGCAACAGAACACCACCAAAAAGGUUGUAACAAUUGGACAUUGGACCUGGACACACACAUUUUUUACAGAUAGGUCACCAUGGCAUACUGGACUCGAUUCACGACACAUCAUGAUCACGUUACUAACUUAACUCUUUUAGGUCACAUACAUUUGUACAUUGGAUCGAUAGCCAUUGGAUCAUCAUCAGACGUCAUUUAUGCAAACCCCCAGAGCUCUGCAUCAAUAUGUUCCAGCUGAUAAUUUACCAGGUUUUUGUCGGUGACAGUGGUAAUACAGAUGUGCCUGAUGAUGUUAACUUGUUUGCUGUUGAGAAAAGCUACUUUUAUUUGAACUUUGAGCAUCAUAAAUAGAU